UAGCGGAGGCUUAACACAUGCAAGUCGAGGGGCAGCGCGGGUAGCAAUACCUGGCGGCGACCGGCGGACGGGUGAGUAACACGUAUGCAACCUGCCCUGCACAGGGGAAUAGCCCGGAGAAAUCCGGAUUAAUGCCCCAUGGUCCACUGGGUCCGCAUGGAUCUGGUGGUAAAGAUUCAUCGGUGCAGGAUGGGCAUGCGUUCCAUUAGCUAGUGGCGGGCAACGGCCCACCAAGGCGACGAUGGAUAUGGGGUCUAAAAGGAUGGUCCCACACAUUGGCACUGAGAUACGGGCCAAACUCCUACGGGAGGCAGCAGUGAGGAAUAUUGGUCAAUGGGCGAGAGCCUGAACCAGCCAUCCCGCGUGCAGGAUGAAGGUUCCUUACAGAUUGUAAACUGCUUUUGCAGGGGACGAAUAAGGAUCACGUGUGGUCCGAUGACAGUACUCUGUGAAUAAGCAUCGGCUAACUCCGUGCCAGCCGCGGC
rnacentral:rRNA from 1 species